AAGUAUUUAAGGGCCGCGGUAAUUUGACCGUGCAAAGGUAGCAUAAUCGUUAGUUUUUUAAUUGGAAUCUUGUAUGAAUGAUUGGACAAGGGGAAGACUGUCUCUAUAUUUAUUUUUGAAUUUAACUUUUAAGUGAAAAGGCUUAAAUAGUUUAAAAAGACGAUAAGACCCUAUAAAGCAUUUUGUUGGGGCGACAAAGGUAAAAUUAUUAACUACUAAAAAUUAAAGACAAAUAUAGAUGGAGUGAGCCUGAGAUAAGAUUAAAAGAUUAAGUUACUUUAGGGAUAACAGCGUUAUUUUUUUUGAGAGUUCUUAUCGAAAAAAAAGUUUGCGACCUCGAUGUUGAAUUAAAAUAUCUAUACAAUUGCAGAAGUUGUGUAAGUGGGUCUGUUCGACCUUUAAAAUUUU
rnacentral:rRNA from 1 species